rnacentral:rRNA from 1 species
GACGAACGCUGGCGGCGUGCCUAAUACAUGCAAGUCGAACGAGAGCAACCGGUGCUUGCACUGGUCAAUCUAGUGGCGAACGGGUGAGUAACACGUGGGUAACCUGCCCAUCAGAGGGGGAUAACAUCCGGAAACGGAUGCUAAAACUGCAUAGGUCUUCGAACCGCAUGGUUUGAAGAGGAAAAGAGGCGCAAGCUUCUGCUGAUGGAUGGACCCGCGGUGCAUUAGCUAGUUGGUGAGGUAACGGCUCACCAAGGCCGUGAUGCAUAGCCGACCUGAGAGGGUGAUCGGCCACAUUGGGACUGAGACACGGCCCAAACUCCUACGGGAGGCAGCAGUAGGGAAUCUUCCGCAAUGGACGCAAGUCUGACGGAGCAACGCCGCGUGAGUGAAGAAGGUUUUCGGAUCGUAAAACUCUGUUGUUAGAGAAGAACAAGUGCUAGAGUAACUGUUAGCGCCUUGACGGUAGCUAACCAGAAAGCCACGGCUAACUACGUG